rnacentral:rRNA from 1 species
GAUGAACGCUGGCGGCGUGCCUAAUACAUGCAAGUCGAGCGAACGGACGAGAAGCUUGCUUCUCUGAUGUUAGCGGCGGACGGAUGAGUAACACGUGGAUAACCUACCUAUAAGACUGGGAUAACUUCGGGAAACCGGAGCUAAUACCGGAUGAUAUUUUGAACCGCAUGGUUCAAAAGUGAAAGACGGUCUUGCUGUCACUUAUAGAUGGAUCCGCGCUGCAUUAGCUAGUUGGUAGGGUAACGGCUUACCAAGGCAACGAUGCAUAGCCGACCUGAGAGGGUGAUCGGCCACACUGGAACUGAGACACGGUCCAGACUCCUACGGGAGGCAGCAGUAGGGAAUCUUCCGCAAUGGUCGAAAGCCUGACGGAGCAACGCCGCGUGAGUGAUGAAGGUCUUCGGAUCGUAAAACUCUGUUAUUAGGGAAGAACAUAUGUGUAAGUAACUGUGCACAUCUUGACGGUACCUAAUCAGAAAGCCACGGCUAACUACGUG